rnacentral:misc_RNA from 1 species
GUGAAAAGCAUAUUUUAUCCUCUGAUCUGCGUUCUCAAAAUUCUGGAUUUCAUCUUUCUUUGUUGAAAGCUGUUGGAAGAGAUGAUAAUUCUUUGGAUUGAACAAGUACUUUUUAUUGAACAAAUACCUGUUCUAGAUUACUACAUCUUCUAUUCUUCAUUGUUUUCUUACUCAUUUCAAUCUCUGUUAGCCAUCUUUAAGAAUUCAGAUUCAGAACAACCAUUUAUGAACUUUCCUGGUGGCAUUUUAUCUAGC